ACAUUUUAAAGAUAACAACUUGUUUUUUUCUAUUUCAAAUGCUCUGCAUACAUAACUAAACAGGAAGAAUAGAUGAAGUCCAAAACUCAAAAGUAACAGGAUAGCAAGGAUUUUGAGACCAAGAUGAAAUACAUCCUACGGACUUACAGACCAACAUAAAGUACAUCCUGCAGACUUACAGACCAAAAUAAAGUACACCUGCUGAUUUACAGAUCAAAAUAAAGUACAUCCUGCUGAUUUGCAGAUCAAAAUAAAGUACAUCCUGCUGAUUUGCAGAUCAAAAUAAAGUUCAUUCUGCUGAUUUACAGAUCAAAAUAAAGUUCAUUCUGCUGAUUUACAGAUCAAAAUGAAGUACAUUCUGCUGAUUUACAGAUCAAAAUAAAGUACAUCCUGCUGAUUUACAGAUCAAAAUAAAGUACAUCCUGCUGAUUUACAGAUCAAAAUAAAGUACAUUCUGGUGAUUUACAGACACUUGCAUGGGCUGCUUGUAAUAAAAAGUGUAUUUUGAUGAUAGCCAA